GUGGUGGCUCAGCGGUAGAUCGCUCGCCUCGCACGUGUGAGGCCUUGGGUUCGAUCCUCAGCACCACA
rnacentral:tRNA from 1 species